UAGAGCAAUUGAAUAUUUUCU
rnacentral:piRNA from 1 species